rnacentral:rRNA from 1 species
UACAGAGGGGGCAAGCGUUGUUCGGAAUUACUGGGCGUAAAGGGCGCGUAGGUGGCCUUCUAAGUUGAACGUGAAAUCCCUGGGCUCAACCCAGGAACUGCGUCCAAGACUGGGAGGCUUGAAUCCGGGAGAGGGACCUGGAAUUCCGGGUGGAGCGGUGAAAUGCGUAGAGAUCCGGAGGAACACCACUGGCGCAGGCAAGGUCCUGGCUCGUAUCUGACGCUGAGGUGCGAAAGCUAGGGGAGCGAACGGG